rnacentral:rRNA from 1 species
AUCUAUGGCCAUACCACUCUGAAUGUGCCCAAUCUUGUCUGAUCAGAAGCUAAGCAGGGUAAGGCCUGGAUAGUAUUUGGAUGGGAGACCAUAGUUG